GAUGAACGCUGGCGGCGUGCCUAAUACAUGCAAGUCGAGCGAACAGACCAGGAGCUUGCUCCUCUGACGUUAGCGGCGGACGGGUGAGUAACACGUGGAUAACCUACCUAUAAGACUGGGAUAACUUCGGGAAACCGGAGCUAAUACCGGAUAAUAUAUUGAACCGCAUGGUUCAAUAGUGAAAGACGGUUUUGCUGUCACUUAUAGAUGGAUCCGCGCCGCAUUAGCUAGUUGGUAAGGUAACGGCUUACCAAGGCAACGAUGCGUAGCCGACCUGAGAGGGUGAUCGGCCACACUGGAACUGAGACACGGUCCAGACUCCUACGGGAGGCAGCAGUAGGGAAUCUUCCGCAAAGGGCGAAAGCCUGACGGAGCAACGCCGCGUGAGUGAUGAAGGUCUUCGGAUCGUAAAACUCUGUUAUUAGGGAAGAACAAAUGUGUAAGUAACUAUGCACGUCUUGACGGUACCUAAUCAGAAAGCCACGGCUAACUACGUG
rnacentral:rRNA from 1 species